UGCGAUAUAGUGUAAAAGGUUUGCACGGUAGUCUCAUAAACUGUAAGUUUUGGUUCGAAUCCAAAAUUCGCAC
rnacentral:tRNA from 1 species